rnacentral:rRNA from 2 species
UAAUUGAAGAGUUUGAUCAUGGCUCAGAUUGAACGCUGGCGGCAGGCCUAACACAUGCAAGUCGGGCGGUAACAGGGAGAAGCUUGCUUCUCCGCUGACGAGCGGCGGACGGGUGAGUAAUGUAUGGGGAUCUGCCUGAUGGCGGGGGAUAACUACUGGAAACGGUAGCUAAUACCGCAUAAUGUCU